GUAUUUCUAUUUUUAUAUUUUAUUUUUUCUGUUUAAAAGUUUAUAAAUUGAUCAAAAUUACAUUAAAACUUUUAUAAGGUUUUGCAAAUGGUAACUUUAUGAAGUAUGAAACUUAAGUGCAUAACUAAAUAUACUAUAAAAUCUUGAAAACCAAUCACAAUUGUUGACUGACUUAUCUUUCAAACGCCAUUUUUUUUUACUAAUAAAUUAUCUAUAUAAAAACUGAUACGGCUAAGAGGAUUCUCUUCCAUUGCAAUACAGUGAAAAAUAAUUUUGAUUAAUCAAAAUGUCAGAUUCAAUUGUCAAUAAUGAUCCAAAUCAUAGUAUUGUUAUUUUGGGAAGAGUUACUGGUAAAUAUUGCACAUUACUUGGAAUUAAUGACCAAGUUAAAAACUAUUUAUUUCUGAAAUACAGCGAACCAGUAAUUCAGUGUAACCGAUAUGAGGAAGAAUCAGAAAUAUCAAUUAAAGAUUUACCAAUGACUGUCAUAAACCAUUUAGCGAAACUGAAUUAUCACAUCGCUUUUAUAUCUGGCUCUCCUGUUCCCAAUCACCAUUUAAGAUUUAUAUAUUCAAAUAAAUUAAUUUCAAAAAUUUCUUAAA